rnacentral:lncRNA from 1 species
GAAGUUAAUUAAGGUGCCAUCGCUGUGAUAGUGUAAGUCGGGAUAAGCUUGAUGCUACCUCUUUUCUUUUGUUUGUUAUUUUCUUUAAAUAAGAUGAUUGAGAGUUUUUAAAUAUUAUGAGGUGAAUCAUAGAAUGGAAAUAUGAUUGAUAUUAUUUGAGAAGGAGAAAGAUUGAAUGCUAAAAUUUGAUUGUAGUUCAGCAGAGAGAAUGAGUCUAAAUUUGUGUGAAACAUCGUAAUGUGAAUGGUAGUUCUAUGUGAAGAAUUCCAGUGAUUGGAAUGAAGGUAAUUGUGUACUGAAAGCUAUGAGGGCACAGUA